GCGUGCUUAACACAUGCAAGUCGAACGGAAAGGCCCUGCUUUUGUGGGGUGCUCGAGUGGCGAACGGGUGAGUAACACGUGAGUAACCUGCCCUUGACUUUGGGAUAACUUCAGGAAACUGGGGCUAAUACCGGAUAGGAGCUCCUGCUGCAUGGUGGGGGUUGGAAAGUUUCGGCGGUUGGGGAUGGACUCGCGGCUUAUCAGCUUGUUGGUGGGGUAGUGGCUUACCAAGGCUUUGACGGGUAGCCGGCCUGAGAGGGUGACCGGCCACAUUGGGACUGAGAUACGGCCCAGACUCCUACGGGAGGCAGCAGUGGGGAAUAUUGCACAAUGGGCGGAAGCCUGAUGCAGCAACGCCGCGUGCGGGAUGACGGCCUUCGGGUUGUAAACCGCUUUCGCCUGUGACGAAGCGUGAGUGACGGUAAUGGGUAAAGAAGCACCGGCUAACUACGUGCCAGCAGCCGCGGUGAUACGUAGGGUGCGAGCGUUGUCCGGAUUUAUUGGGCGUAAAGGGCUCGUAGGUGGUUGAUCGCGUCGGAAGUGUAAUCUUGGGGCUUAACCCUGAGCGUGCUUUCGAUACGGGUUGACUUGAGGGAGGUAGGGGAGAAUGGAAUUCCUGGUGGAGCGGUGGAAUGCGCAGAUAUCAGGAGGAACACCAGUGGCGAAGGCGGUUCUCUGGGCCUUUCCUGACGCUGAGGAGCGAAAGCGUGGGGAGCGAACAGGCUUAGAUACCCUGGUAGUCCACGCUGUAAACGGUGGGUACUAGGUGUGGGGUCCAUUCCACGGGUUCCGUGCCGUAGCUAACGCUUUAAGUACCCCGCCUGGGGAGUACGGCCGCAAGGCUAAAACUCAAAGGAAUUGACGGGGCCCCGCACAAGCGGCGGAGCAUGCGGAUUAAUUCGAUGCAACGCGUAGAACCUUACCUGGGUUUGACAUGGAUCGGGAGUGCUCAGAGAUGGGUGUGCCUCUUUUGGGGUCGGUUCACAGGUGGUGCAUGCCUGUCGUCAGCUCGUGUCGUGAGAUGUUGGGUUAAGUCCCGCAACGAGCGCAACCCUUGUUCACUGUUGCCAGCACGUUAUGGUGGGGACUCAGUGGAGACCGCCGGGGUCAACUCGGAGGAAGGUGGGGAUGACGUCAAGUCAUCAUGCCCCUUAUGUCCAGGGCUUCACGCAUGCUACAAUGGCUGGUACAGAGAGUGGCGAGCCUGUGAGGGUGAGCGAAUCUCGGAAAGCCGGUCUCAGUUCGGAUUGGGGUCUGCAACUCGACCUCAUGAAGUCGGAGUCGCUAGUAAUCGCAGAUCAGCAACGCUGCGGUGAAUACGUUCCCGGGGCUUGUACACACCGCCCGUCAAGUCAUGAAAGUUGGUAACACCCGAAGCCGGUGGCCUAACCGUUGUGGGGGAGCCGUCGAAGGUGGGACUGGUGAUUAGGACUAAGUCA
rnacentral:rRNA from 1 species